AAUCAGGUUGAUUCUGCCUGACGAGGAAGCUAGUUUCACAGAUUCAGCCAUGCAAGUAGUAUGUAUGUAUACACAAGGCUCAGUAUCGAGUAUAGCUUUGCUCUCCAAGAUGUGAUACUUUCAGGAAACAGAAAAUAAAGCAUCUAUCUUCUAAAGAACUUUAGAGGAGAGGAGAAGAAGCGACUCACCUAUCAGUUAGUAGGUAUGGUAAGGGCAUACCUAGACGAAGACGGGUACGGGGAAGGCAACUUCGAUUCCGGAGAGGGCGCAUUUAGAGAUGGCGACCAGUUCUAAGGAGUGCAGCAGGCUCGAAACUUACCGAAUUAUAGAUUAGAGGUAGUGAUGAAACGUUUAUAUAAAGAUACUGGUAAAGCAAGUAUUAGCAACUGGAGGGUAAGUCUGGUGCCAGCAGCCGCGGUAAUUCCAGCUCCAAUAGCGUAUAUUAAAGUUGUUGCGGUUAAAAAGCUCGUAGUUGGAUUUCAGUUCUGGACUGACGGGUCACCGCCCGGUGCAUACUGUCACGCUCCGAACAGCCACAACAGCCCGCUGGCUCGCACGGGGUGCUCUUCAUCGAGUGUCCCGCGUGGCCGGCAGAGUUUACUUUGAAAAAAUUAGAGUGCUCAAAGCAGGCUACACUGACGGCCUGAAUGCCUAUGCAUGGAAUAAUGGAAUAGGACCUCGGUUCUAUUUUGUCGGUUUUCUGAACCCGAGGUAAUGACUAAUAGGAACAGGCGGGGGCAUUCGUAUUGCGACGCUAGAGGUGAAAUUCUUGGACCGUCGCAAGACGAACUACUGCGAAAGCAUUUGCCAAGGAUGUUUUCAUUAAUCAAGAACGAAAGUUAGAGGUUCGAAGGCGAUCAGAUACCGCCCUAGUUCUAACCAUAAACGAUGCUGACCAGCGAUCCGCCGGUGUUAUUCCCAUGACCCGGCGGGCAGCUUCCGGGAAACCAAAGUCUUUGGGUUCCGGGGGAAGUAUGGUUGCAAAGCUGAAACUUAAAGGAAUUGACGGAAGGGCACCACCAGGAGUGGAGCCUGCGGCUUAAUUUGACUCAACACGGGGAACCUCACCAGGCCCAGACACCGGAAGGAUUGACAGAUUGAGAGCUCUUUCUUGAUUCGGUGGGUGGUGGUGCAUGGCCGUUCUUAGUUGGUGGAGCGAUUUGUCUGGUUAAUUCCGAUAACGAACGAGACUCUGGCCUACUAACUAGUCGACGGAUCUCCAGCAAUUGGUGUCCAGUUCGCAGCUUCUUCUUAGAGGGAUAAGCGGCAAUUCUAGCCGCACGAGAUUGAGCAAUAACAGGUCUGUGAUGCCCUUAGAUGUUCUGGGCCGCACGCGCGCUACACUGAAGGGAUCAACGUGUCCUCCCCCUCCGAGAGGAGCGGGUAACCCGUUGAAAUCCUUUCAUGAUAGGGAUUGGGGUUUGCAAUUAUCUCCCAUGAACGAGGAAUUCCCAGUAAGCGCAAGUCAUGAGCUUGCGUUGAUUACGUCCCUGCCCUUUGUACACACCGCCCGUCGCUACUACCGAUUGAAUGAUUUAGUGAGGCCUUCGGACUGGCGCUCUUGGAUGUUGGGUCCGUGCGGUUCUGCCGCCGGGCUUUCGGCGCCUCGAGCUGACGGAAAGAUGUCCAAACUUGAUCAUUUAGAGGAAGUAAAAGUCGUAACAAGGUUUCCGUAGGUGAACCUGCGGAAG
rnacentral:rRNA from 1 species